CUACGGGACGCUGCAGUGGGGAAUAUUGCACAAUGGAGGAAACUCUGAUGCAGCAACGCCGCGUGGAGGAUGACACUUUUCGGAGCGUAAACUCCUUUUAUAUAGGAAGAAGAUGACGGUACUAUAUGAAUAAGCGCCGGCUAACUCCGUGCCAGCAGCCGCGGUAAUACGGAGGGCGCGAGCGUUACGCGGAAUCACUGGGCGUAAAGAGCGUGUAGGCGGAUUAAAAAGUCAGAAGUGAAAUCCUAUAGCUUAACUAUAGAACUGCUUCUGAAACUCUUAAUCUAGAAUAUGGGAGAGGUAGAUGGAAUUUCUGGUGUAGGGGUAAAAUCCGUAGAGAUCAGAAGGAAUACCGAUUGCGAAGGCGAUCUACUAGAACAUUAUUGACGCUGAGACGCGAAAGCGUGGGGAGCAAACAGGAUUAGAUACCCUCGUAGUC
rnacentral:rRNA from 1 species